ACCUAGCUGACAAGUCCCAAAAAAGACGUAACGUGCGUCCUAGAU
rnacentral:hammerhead_ribozyme from 1 species